rnacentral:lncRNA from 1 species
AAUUGAUUCAGUCAAAAAAGUUUAGUUAAAAUUUUAAAUUUUAUUUUUUUCAAAAUUUUUUUGGAAUUAUUAUUUUUAUUAAUUUAUUUUAGAGAUUUUUUUUUUGAUUUUUAGGAUUUAUUGUGUGAAUAAAUUUCUAAAGAUUAGGAAUAUGAAUUUGAAAGUUUUAAAUUAGAAUUAGAUUUAUUUGUUUCAGGAAAGUCCCUAGAAUCAUGAGAUUCGAUUAGAAUUAGAAAUAGAAUUUGAUUUAUUAUAAAUAGGCUUGAUAUCUAUUAUAAAAGGAAAGUUUUGGUUAAUGAAAAUUUAUUUUAGAGCCUUGUGAUAUUUCUUAGUGCCUG